rnacentral:rRNA from 1 species
UUUAUGGAGAGUUUGAUCCUGGCUCAGGAUGAACGCUGGCGGCGUGCCUAAUACAUGCAAGUCGAGCGAACAGACGAGGAGCUUGCUCCUCUGACGUUAGCGGCGGACGGGUGAGUAACACGUGGAUAACCUACCUAUAAGACUGGGAUAACUUCGGGAAACCGGAGCUAAUACCGGAUAAUAUAUUGAACCGCAUGGUUCA